GACGAACGCUGGCGGCGUGCCUAACACAUGCAAGUCGAACGGAACUGUUUUGAAAGAUUUCUUCGGAAUGAAUUUGAUUUAGUUUAGUGGCGGACGGGUGAGUAACGCGUGAGUAACCUGCCUUCAAGAGGGGGAUAACAUUCUGAAAAGAAUGCUAAUACCGCAUGACAUAUCGGAACCACAUGAUUUUGGUAUCAAAGAUUUUAUCGCUUGAAGAUGGACUCGCGUCCGAUUAGUUAGUUGGUGAGGUAACGGCUCACCAAGACCGCGAUCGGUAGCCGGACUGAGAGGUUGAACGGCCACAUUGGGACUGAGACACGGCCCAGACUCCUACGGGAGGCAGCAGUGGGGGAUAUUGCGCAAUGGGGGCAACCCUGACGCAGCAACGCCGCGUGAAGGAUGAAGGUUUUCGGAUUGUAAACUUCUUUUAUUAAGGACGAAA
rnacentral:rRNA from 1 species